rnacentral:rRNA from 1 species
AGUGAACGCUGGCGGUAGGCCUAACACAUGCAAGUCGAACGGCAGCACAGUAAGAGCUUGCUCUUACGGGUGGCGAGUGGCGGACGGGUGAGGAAUACAUCGGAAUCUACUUUUUCGUGGGGGAUAACGUAGGGAAACUUACGCUAAUACCGCAUACGACCUACGGGUGAAAGCAGGGGAUCUUCGGACCUUGCGCGAUUGAAUGAGCCGCUGUCGGAUUAGCUAGUUGGCGGGGUAAAGGCCCACCAAGGCGACGAUCCGUAGCUGGUCUGAGAGGAUGGUCGGCGACACUGGAACUGAGACACGGACCAGACUCCUACGGGAGGCAGCAGUGGGGAAUAUUGGACAAUGGGCGCAAGCCUGAUCCAGCCAUACCGCGUGGGUGAAGAAGGCCUUCGGGUUGUAAAGCCCUUUUGUUGGGAAAGAAAAGCAGCAGGUUAAUACCCCGCUGUUCUGACGGUACCCAAAGAAUAAGCACCGGCUAACUUCGUG